GGGAAAACCUGUAUCGGUAAAUCAUGAGAAAUGUUUUGAAUUUGUCAUUUUGUCAUUUUCCUGUACCUUCAAGACAUUAUAAAUACGAACGCGUGUCGCAUUUGUUCAAUUCCUCACAAAAUUCGUGUGAGAGACAUCAAUAUGAAGCUCCUUGCAUUUAUUUUAAUGGUAGCGCUGUGUGCGCAGAUUUGUCACGUUUCAUGUGAUAUUAGCCUAGGGAGUAGUACUACGACAACCACACCUAAGCCUUGGACACGGAGAUUCAGAGAUGGAUUGGGCAAAUUUUUACAAGGCGCUGCUGCGGCUACAACGAUCCAACAAGGAUUCCAGAAUGCGCGAAAAAGUGGGAAACAUAAGUCAUUUGGAAAUCCACCUAUUAGUGCUGCUGUUGCUUCGAAACACUGAUUCCUUUCAUGAAACAUAUUUUUAUACAAGUUUUUUUCCUUCCUGUAUGGGAAAUUCAUAUGAGUAAUUGUAUUUUGUAAGAGCUAUACAUAUAUAAUAUAAUAUUGUAUGACGAAAAAAAAAUGAGUUUACAUAAUCAGUUAAAACGCACCAAUUACCUUAACUAGGAUAGUAUGGUUAAUUAAAAUUAACAUAAUAUGUAUCAUCUGAAUAUUUUGAUUAUGUUUGAUUAUGAAUCGUUUGAUUGUUCUUUUCAGCGUAAAACUGAACAAAACAUCAUGUUGAAAUUUUACAGAAAUAAUAAACGUAUUGGACAAAUAAUGUACAUGUACAUGCAGCUACAGAAACGAACGUAUUUUUCAAUUUAACUUACCUUCAAUAAAUAAAUUGCCUAAA